GCAGAACCUCUAGGUGUAACGGCAACACCCCCAUUGCUCCUAGAGGCUCAUUUGCAUAUAUUAAAACAUCAUUUUUCGCAGCAAUGGGGGCACAUAUGAACAUGGGACCAACACAGAUGUCAUCAGCUGCCAAGUGAACAUGUAACAGCUCAGCCAGUGUCAUAGGUACAAAUCUGCUGACAGAUGGCCCUUAAACCCUGAC